GUAGGUGGCAAGCGUUGUCCGGAAUUAUUGGGCGUAAAGCGCGCGCAGGUGGUUCUUUAAGUCUGAUGUGAAAGCCCCCGGGCUCAACCGGGGAGGGUCAUUGGAAACUGGGGAACUUGAGUGCAGGAGAGGAAAGUGGAAUUCCACGUGUAGCGGUGAAAUGCGUAGAUAUGUGGAGGAACACCAGUGGCGAAGCCGACUUUCUGGCCUGUAACUGACACUGAGGCGCGAAAGCGUGGGGAGCAAACAGGAUUAGAUACCCUGGUAGUCCACGCCGUAAACGAUGAGUGCUAAGUGUUGGGGGGUUUCCGCCCCUCAGUGCUGCAGCUAACGCAUUAAGCACUCCGCCUGGGGAGUACGGUCGCAAAGACUG
rnacentral:rRNA from 1 species